UACGGGGGGGGCAAGCGUUGUUCGGAAUUACUGGGCGUAAAGGGUGCGUAGGCGGCUUUCUAAGUUGGAUGUGAAAACUAUGGGCUCAACCCACAGCCUGCAUCCAAAACUGGAGAGCUUGGGUUCUGGAGGGGAAAGCGGAAUUCCUGGUGUAGCGGUGAAAUGCGUAGAUAUCAGGAGGAACACCGGUGGCGAAGGCGGCUUUCUGGACAGAUACCGACGCUGAGGCACGAAAGCUAGGGGAGCAAACAGG
rnacentral:rRNA from 1 species